rfam:Selenomonas ruminantium subsp. lactilytica TAM6421 DNA, complete genome.
UAAGUUGUCAAGACAAUCGCGGCUGGUGCAUGACACCAGAUGAGGAAAGUCCGGGCUCCAUAGGGCAGUGUGCUGGAUAACGUCCAGCGAGGGUGACCUUAGGGACAGUGCCAUAGAGAUUUAGACCGCCUGACUUGUCAGGUAAGGGUGGAAAGGUGCGGUAAGAGCGCACCAGCAGUCAGGUGACUGGCUGGCUUGGGUAAACCCCACACGGAGCAAGACCAAAUAGGGAAGGGAUGAUGCGGCCCGCGGAACCUUCCGGGUUGAGUCGCUUGAGCCGGCAGGCAACUGCCGCGCCUAGAUAAAUGAUUGUCGCCCCCACGUUUGUGGGUGGAACAAAACUCGGCUUAUUGAUUGCUUAUUCA